GAUGAACGCUGGCGGCGUGCCUAAUACAUGCAAGUCGAGCGAACAGACGAGGAGCUUGCUCCUUCGACGUUAGCGGCGGACGGGUGAGUAACACGUAGGUAACCUACCUAUAAGACUGGGAUAACUUCGGGAAACCGGAGCUAAUACCGGAUAAUAUUUCGAACCGCAUGGUUCGAUAGUGAAAGAUGGCUUUGCUAUCACUUAUAGAUGGACCUGCGCCGUAUUAGCUAGUUGGUAAGGUAACGGCUUACCAAGGCAACGAUACGUAGCCGACCUGAGAGGGGGAUCGGCCACACUGGAACUGAGACACGGUCCAGACUCCUAAGGGAGGCAGCAGUAGGGAAUGUUCCGCAAUGGGCGAAAGCCUGACGGAGCAACGCCGCGUGAGUGAUGAAGGUCUUCGGAUCGUAAAACUCUGUUAUUAGGGAAGAACAAACGUGUAAGUAACUGUGCACGUCUUGACGGUACCUAAUCAGAAAGCCACGGCUAACUACGUG
rnacentral:rRNA from 1 species